GUCGGACCGGAAGGGUCCGGGUGGUGGCGUGGGUGCAAAGUUCUUACUUAUCUUCUGUGUCCGCCAUCGUUUCUGAUCAGCUCCCGGCCCGGGGAUAACGGACACCCACGACACCCCUGCAGAGCUGCGCAGUGACUAGCAAAAUUGAAGAUGAGUAGAAAAUGUUUCCCUCUUGUCCAAUGUGGAAUGAACUAGCCUAAGUGUGAGGCCAGUCUUGACCAAAAAAACACGACAUAGAUUGAAAGGGCAAACUCCCAGAUUCUAUUUCAGCCAAUUGGGACCUGGAUCCUAUUUCAGCCAAUCGGGACCUGGAUCCUAUUUCACCCAGUUGGAGCUUAGUCCCUCUCACCCCUCCAGUCAGCAAGAACACCCACCACCCCUGGACCCUGCCAACUGACCAAAGCCAUGACUCAUCACCCCCCAAC